CACGUCGGGCGCAAGCGUUGUCCGGAAUUAUUGGGCGUAAAGCGCUCGUAGGCGGUCUGUUGCGUCUGCUGUGAAAACCCGGGGCUUAACCCCUGGCUUGCAGUGGAUACGGACAGACUAGAGGUAGGUAGGGGAGAAUGGAAUUCCCGGUGUAGCGGUGAAAUGCGCAGAUAUCGGGAGGAACACCGGUGGCGAAGGCGGUUCUCUGGGCCUGUACUGACGCUGAGGAGCGAAAGCGUGGGGAGCGAACAGG
rnacentral:rRNA from 1 species